GGAGGUGGAGGAGGAGGAGGAGAUGGCGGCGACGGCGCGGGAAGAUGGCAUCCGCAACCUGGCGCAGGGGCCGCGGGGCUGCGAGCACUAUGACAGAGCCUGUCUUCUCAAGGCACCUUGUUGUGACAAGCUUUAUACUUGCCGGCUGUGUCACGAUACCAAUGAAGAUCAUCAGCUAGAUUGCUUCAAAGUCAGGGAAGUGCAGUGCAUCAACUGUGAAAAACUCCAACAUGCCCAGCAGACUUGUGAAGACUGUAGCACAUUGUUUGGAGAAUAUUACUGCAAUAUUUGCCACCUGUUUGACAAAGACAAGAAGCAGUAUCACUGUGAGAACUGUGGGAUUUGUAGGAUUGGUCCAAAGGAAGAUUUUUUCCAUUGCUUGAAAUGUAAUUUAUGCCUAGCCAUGAAUCUUCGAGGAAAACACAAGUGUAUUGAAAAUGUUUCCCGGCAGAAUUGUCCAAUAUGCUUGGAGGACAUUCACACCUCCCGUGUUGUUGCUCACGUCUUGCCGUGUGGGCAUCUCCUACAUAGAACGUGUUAUGAAGAAAUGUUGAAAGAAGGUUACAGAUGCCCAUUGUGUAUGCAUUCUGCCUUAGACAUGACUCAGUACUGGAGACAACUAGAUAAUGAGGUAGCACAGACUCCCAUGCCAUCGGAAUACCAGAAUGUGACUGUUGAUAUUCUCUGCAAUGACUGUAAUGGACGAUCCACAGUCCAGUUCCAUAUCUUAGGCAUGAAAUGUAAGUUUUGUGACUCCUACAAUACUGCCCAAGCUGGAGGCCGCAGAGUGUCAGUGGAUCAGCAGUGAGAAGCCUGUCCUUGGCUAGAGAACAGCUCUGUGAUGGAGAUGAAGCUCUGUAAAAGAUCCCAAUGUUCCGAUC